ensembl:rRNA 5_8S_rRNA 5.8S ribosomal RNA
AACUCUUAGCGGUGGAUCACUCGGCUCGUGCGUCGAUGAAGAACGCAGCUAGCUGCGAGAACUAAUGUGAUUUGCAGGAUUUGUCCUAAAUCUCCAAAAUCUCAGAAAUUUAGGAGAAAAAACAAGGAAAUUUGAGUUUCA